CCUACGGGAGGCAGCAGUGGGGGAUAUUGCACAAUGGGGGGAACCCUGAUGCAGCGACACCGCGUGGGUGAAGAAGCGCCUCGGCGCGUAAAGCCCUGUCAGCAGGGAAGAAAAUGACGGUACCUGAAGAAGAAGCCCAGGCUAACUACGUGCCAGCAGCCGCGGUAAUACGUAGGGGGCGAGCGUUAUCCGGAUUUACUGGGUGUAACGGGGGCGCAGACGGCGAUGCAAGCCAGGAGUGAAAGCCCGGGGCCCAACCCCGGGACUGCUCUUGGAACUGCGUGGCUGGAGUGCAGGAGGGGCAGGCGGAAUUCCUGGUGUAGCGGUGAAAUGCGUAGAUAUCAGGAGGAACACCGGUGGCGAAGGCGGCCUGCUGGACUGCAACUGACGUUGAGGCCCGAAAGCGUGGGGAGCAAACAGGAUUAGAUACCCCAGUAGUC
rnacentral:rRNA from 1 species